rnacentral:rRNA from 1 species
AGCGCAGGCGGGAAGACAAGUUGGAAGUGAAAACCAUGGGCUCAACCCAUGAAUUGCCUUCAAAACUGUUUUUCUUGAGUAGUACAGAGGUAGAUGGAAUUCCCGGUGUAGCGGUGGAAUGCGUAGAUAUCGGGAGGAACACCAGUGGCGAAGGCGGUCUACUGGGCACCAACUGACGCUGAGGCUCGAAAGCAUGGGUAAGCAAACA